rnacentral:rRNA from 1 species
GACGAACGCUGGCGGCGUGCCUAAUACAUGCAAGUCGGACACAGUUGCGAACGGGUGAGUAACUCGUUGGUAACUGCCUAUUAGAGGGGGAUAACUAUUUGAAACGAUAGCUAAUACCGCAUACUAGUAGAUGGAUCUGCGUUGUAUUAGCUAGUAGGUAGGGUAAUGGCCUACCUAGGCAAGGAUACAUAGCCGACCUGGGAAGGUGAUCGGCCACACUGGGACUGGGACACGGCCCAGACUCCUACGGGAGGCAGCCGUAGGGAAUCUUCGGCAAUGGGGGGAAAACUGACCGAGCAACGCCGCGUGAGUGAAGAAGGUUUUCGGAUCGUAAAGCUCUGUUGUUAAGGAAGCGGUACUUAACCAGAAAGGGACGGCUAACUACGUGCCAGCAGCCGCGGUAAUUC